CACCUCCUGGAUUCAUCUUGCCUCUCCUUCCAAGUCUGCCUCCACCUCCUAAACCUGAAAAUCUCUGGAACAAACCCACUGUAAAUAAACUCACUUAUCUUCUUA